UUACGCGGGCGAGAUUCCAAAUAUAAAUGAGAAGUCUUUUUAGUCACGUCGUUGCCUUGCCUCUACACUACGCGUUUGCUCUUCCAUUCUCAGCAACUUCCACCAAAUAUUCUCUCUCUCUCUCUCUCUCUCUCUCUCUCUCUUCUGGGCGAAAAUGGCGAACCCUAAUCUGACCGAGAACGGUGUCCUCGACUCGUCGGCGCUGAUCUUUUUGGGGACCGGGUGCUCCAGCGCCGUCCCCAACGCGCGGUGCCUCAUCCAGCCCUCCGAUCCUCCUUGCGAGGUCUGCUUUCGGUCCUUGUCCGUACCGCCCGAUCGUAACCCUAAUUACAGGUGCAAUACAUCCCUUUUGAUUGAUUAUUUCCGUAGCGAUGGUAAUCACAGCUAUAUAUUGAUUGAUGUUGGGAAGACGUUUCGGGAGCAAGUACUCCGGUGGUUUACUGUCCAUAAGAUUCCUAGAGUGGAUUCCAUUGUUUUGACUCAUGAACAUGCUGAUGCAGUUCUUGGUCUGGAUGAUAUUCGUAUUGUGCAACCAUAUAGUCCUACAAAUGACAUUGAUCCCACUCCCAUAUACCUAUCUCAGCAUGCAAUGGAGAGUCUUGCAGUGAAAUUUCCUUACUUGAUUCCAAAGAAACUAAAAGAAGGUCAAGAAUUGAGACGGGUUGCGCAGCUUGACUGGAAGAUAAUUGAGGAUGACUGUGAGAAACCAUUUGUUGCAUCAAGCCUAAAAUUUGUUCCUUUGCCAGUUAUGCAUGGAGAAGAUUACAUCUGUUUGGGUUUUCUCUUUGGUGACAAGUCUAGAGUAGCUUAUAUAUCUGAUGUUUCACGCUUUCCUGCAAGCACAGAGUAUGUUAUUUCAAAAAGUGGGGCUGGACAGUUGGAUCUUAUUAUAUUGGAUACACUAUAUAAGGAAGGAUCCCAUAAUGUCCACUUUUGCCUCCCACAGACCCUUGAAGCUUUGAAGAGGAUAUGCCCUAAGCGAGCCCUGUUAAUUGGAAUGACUCAUGAGUUUGAUCAUCACAAGGACAAUGAAUUUCUAAUGGAAUGGUCUAUAAGGGAAGGAAUCUCUGUGCAGCUUGCGCAUGAUGGUUUGAGAAUACCCAUAGACCUAUGAUAAGUUGAAUGAUGCGGCUUCUGAGUUCUUGGCCGCAUGAACAAGCUUUUAAUCACAUCAACCCCUACAAAGUUAAUGCAUGAACCUUGAAUUAAGAUCAGAUAUAUACUUACAGUUCCCAGCCCAAAUUGAUUGGAGGAAACUAAGGCAAUAAUGUUUGAGUCAUCUAUAUGUAUUUUCAAGAGCAAGGUCCGAAGAAUUAAAACAAUUAUAUGGAGGGUAGUGCAGAAAUUGAUUUUUGAUUCACAUGCUAGAGGCAGAAGGUUAUGCUUUCAGAACUGGUAUUAGGAAGGACCUUAUAAUGUAUUUCCAAGCAAUUAAUCUGUCAUGCAUUUAUCAAAUGAGAAAAGUGUUAAGAUGCAAAAGAGAAGUGAAUAUCUACAUGCAGUAAACCAAGAACUCUGAGUUAUGUCACAGGAUGACAAUAAUGUUGGACAAAGAAUAUUCCACUAGACAUCUUUUAAUUUCGAUUAAUAUGUCAGGUACAAGUCGAUGGCUUGAACGAGUACUUGUUUGAUAGCUAAUGUUUUAUGAACUUCUAGUUGGAUGCCUUGGUGUUUA